AACUUUAGGAUAUAGAGAUGCUUUAAACAAACAGAGAAUUAGCUAAACCAAAUGGUACCUCAGUUGCUCAAACUAUUGCUAUAUCUUAAAAAUCUUGAGUUCGAAUUACUUUAUAUUUUUCGGUACACAUUAUGCACUCUUACUCUUCAACGUAACCAUGGGUUACGCUUUUAAACGGCUUUAAUAGUCGUGCCAAUACGCUGAUCUUAAGAAUCGAGAGACAAACUUUUGAAUGUGUUACUCUUCCACGAUUAUUUUUCAGUAUAAUAAUACUCAAAGAGAAUAAUAGCUUGGCUUUAUCAACUUGAUACAAUAUCAAAUUUGCAUGCAAUUAGCUGGAGAUAAAAGAAAGCUGAAAUUUUGAUGUAUAUAUUAUGUUCUAUAUUGUGGUUGUAGUGUUUUGGGUGCAAUCAUGUUAGUGAUAAGCCUUUACAGUGUUUUAUGGGGAAAGAGCAAAGAACAGAACGUUGAUAACGUGGGUUGUUUGCCUGUUGAAAAUCAAACACAAGGAAACAGCGGUUAGCAGCAGCCCUCGGACAUCGUUAUCUACGUAACUAAUUAUUGUCAUGUUCUUUGAUUGUAUUUCUAAAUCUUUAUUUCUUCUUUUCCCUUCCAUUCCGUAAUUGUAUUAUGGGUUUGGACAAGCGCUUUAUGUCUUCUUUUAUUAAGGGAUAAUGUUACAUUUAAUACUGGUUAUUGGGUAAUUUAGUGCAAUAGAUAUUUAAAAAUGUGU
rnacentral:lncRNA from 1 species